AUCCACCUGGGGAGUACGAUCGCAAGAUUGAAACUCAAAGGAAUUGACGGGGGCCCGCACAAGCGGAGGAACAUGUGGUUUAAUUCGAUGAUACGCGAGGAACCUUACCUGGGCUUAAAUGCAGAACGAUGUUACGGGAAACCGUAAUUCCCUUCGGGGCGGGCUGCAAGGUGCUGCAUGGUUGUCGUCAGCUCGUGCCGUGAGGUGUCGGGUUAAGUCCCAUAACGAGCGCAACCCUUAUCGUUAGUUGCCAGCGGGUCAUGCCGGGGACUCUAACGAAACUGCCGGUGUAAACCGAGAGGAAGGUGGGGAUGACGUCAAAUCAGCACGGCCCUUAUGUCCAGGGCUACACACGUGUUACAAUGGUCGGUACAGAGGGCAGCUACCUGGUGACAGGAUGCUAAUCUCGAAAGCCGGUCUUAGUUCGGAUCGAAGUCUGCAACUCGACUUCGUGAAGCUGGAUUCGCUAGUAAUCGCGCAUCAGCCAUGGCGCGGUGAAUACGUUCCCGGGCCUUGUACACACCGCCCGUCAAGCCAUGGAAGCUGGGGGUACCUGAAGUCUGUAACCGCAAGGAGCGGCCUAGGGUAAAACUAGUGACUGGGGCUAAGUCGUAACAAGGUAGCCG
rnacentral:rRNA from 1 species